rnacentral:rRNA from 1 species
UGCUUAACACAUGCAAGUCGAACGGAAUAUUUAAAGCUUGCUUUAAAUAAUUAGUGGCAAACGGGUGAGUAACACGUGGGAAUCUACCCAUCAGUACGGAAUAACUUUUGGAAACAAUUGCUAAUACCGUAUAUUCUCUUUGGAGGAAAGAUUUAUCGCUGAUGGAUGAGCCCGCGUCUGAUUAGGUAGUUGGUAGGGUAAUGGCCUACCAAGCCAACGAUCAGUAGCUGGUCUGAGAGGAUGAUCAGCCACACUGGGACUGAGACACGGCCCAGACUCCUACGGGAGGCAGCAGUGGGGAAUAUUGGACAAUGGGCGAAAGCCUGAUCCAGCAAUGCCGCGUGAACGAUGAAGGCCUUAGGGUUGUAAAGUUC